UUUCUCGGCGGCGACUUGGGCCUUGGCUGCCAAGCCAUGCGACUCCUGCAAGUCCGCUGCCGCCCUACUUUUCUGUCGAGCGGAUUCCGCCUUUCUUUGCGUGGGUUGUGACUCCAAGAUCCACGGUGCCAACAAGCUGGCGUCUCGCCACGAGCGCGUCUGGAUGUGCGAGGUCUGCGAGCAGGCUCCUGCCAGCGUCACCUGUAAGGCCGACGCCGCCGCCCUAUGCGUCACGUGCGACCGCGACAUCCACUCCGCGAACCCCCUCGCUCGUCGCCACGACCGAGUCCCGGUGGUUCCGUUCUACGACUCGGCCGAGUCCUUGGUGAAGUCUACCGCCGCUGCUGUUGGGUUUCUCGUCCCCGGCGGCGCCGGGGAUGAGGAGGACUCCGAGGCUGCUUCAUGGCUCCUCCCGAACCCGAAACUCCCCGAAGGACCGGAGGUGAAGUCCGGCGAGGUGUUCUUCUCCGAUAUCGAUCCAUUUCUGGAUUUUGAUUACCCGGAUGCGAAAUUCCCACACCAUCAUCACCACCACUGCGGUGGAAAUGAUGGUGUAGUUCCGGUUCAAGCCAAAGAUCCCUCACCUCCGGUCACGAACCACCCUGCUGACAAUUGUUUUGAACUGGAUUUCUCUCGAUCAAAGCUCUCUGCCUACAACUAUACAGCUCAAUCUCUAAGCCAAAGCGUAAUUUCCCUUGCAGAAACUAGUGUUAUUAAUUGUCAACGCUAACAUAUAUGUAUAUAAAUUUGGAUGAAUUGGUG
rnacentral:lncRNA from 1 species